rnacentral:piRNA from 1 species
UGUUCAGCCUGUGCCUUGAAUCUUCGUUUC